rnacentral:lncRNA from 10 species
CCGGAAUACAGAGGAUAAUUUCAGCAAGCCAGCAAGGCCUCAUCUCUGCUUCUAAUAGAUAGGAAGAAAGGAAGAGAGGAACAAUACUUUUUUAAGAAGCUCAGCUUUAUCGCCUUAUCUCAUAGAAAGAUGCCUCCAGUCUGUCUGGCUAAAGGUCCUGGACUGAGUGAAGGAAAAGAAACAGUAAAACCCAUGGUAAAGCAGCAAGGCUCUCUAGAGGCUCUGGAGAGGAUGAAUUGAAUUCUAGAAGAUGAAGUAGGGAAGACGCUUUACCUUCUUGUGAAAUGGAUUCAAAGAUUCAAAGACCUUCGGGAAUCUCCAAUUGUAUAAAUGGCACCAUAGCUGUAUGUUCCAUGGAACACUACUUCCCAGAGAUGCCCAGUGAAAAAAGAAUGCCACAGUCAAAUAAGUUUGGAAACACUCCAUUAUGUGGCCACCUCCUUGAAGACUCUAAUGCACAUUAGCAUGUUAAACAGUCUUGAGAAGUCCUGCAGAGCAGAAAUUGCUUCACAUCUGCUAAGCCGGCAGUUUCCCAAUAUACUUGAUUAUGGAUAGUUUUUUCCUUACAACACCAUUCUCUGAUAUGCUUCCAAUGACAUGAAAUAAAUAUAUAUGCAUGAGGUUCUUCAUUAGGGCAUACUUUUUAAUAGAAAAUAUUGAGAAUAAUCUAAAUAUAAAUGCACAGCAUUUACCUUUUCUGCAUAAACUAUAUACAGGCAUACCUUGGAGAUACUAUGGGUUUGGUUCCCACAAUAUCUCCAAAACCACAUUCGGUUUUAUGACCACUGCCAUAAAACCAGCCACAUGAAUUUUUUGGUUUCCCAAUGUAUAUCAAAGUUACAUUUUUACUAUACCAUAGUCUAUUAUAUAUACAAUAGCAUUAUAUCUAAAAAACAACGUAAACACCUUAAUUUAAGGCUGUGGCUGGUUUGAUUUUCUACCCAGACCACUAAAACUUUCUUCAUAUCAGCAAUAAGGCUGUUUCACUUUCUUACUAUUUUUUGUGAUAGCACUUUUCCUUUCCUUCAAGAAUUUUUCCUUUCUAUUCACAAUUUGUUUGAUACAAGAGGACUAGAUUUUAGCUUAUCUCAGUUUAAGGUGUUUACAUUGUUAGCUAAAAAUGCUAAUGAUCAUCUGAGACUUCAGCAAGUCAUAAUCUUUUGCUGGUGGAAGGUCUUGCCUCAGUGUUGAUGUCUGCUGACUGGGUGGCUUUGGCAAUUUCUUAAAGUAAGACAACAAUCAAGUUUGACAUAUCAAUUGACCCUUCCUGUCAUAAAUGAUUUUUUUUUUCUCUGUAGCCUGCAAUGCUCUUUGAUAGCAUUUUACCCACAGUAGAAUUUUCAAAAUUGGAGUCAAUCCUUUCAAACUCUGGUGCUGUUUUAUCAACUAAGUUUAUGGAGUAUUAGAAAUCCCUUGUUGUCAUUUCAACAAUGUUCACACCAUCUUCCCCAGGAGUAUAUUCUACCUCAAGAAACCACUUUCUUUGCUCAUCUAUAAGAAGCAGCUCCUCAUCCACUAAAGUUUUAUCCUGAGAUUGCAACAAUUCAGUUACAUCUUCAGGCUCUACUUCUAAUUCUAGUUCUCUUGCUGUUUCUAUCUCAUUUGUGCUUACUUUCUCCGCUGAAGUCUUGAACCCCUUAAAGUCACUCAUGAGGGUUGGAAUCAACUUCUUACAAACUCCUGUUGAUGUUGAUAUUUUGACCUGCUCCCAUGAUUCAUGGGUAUUCUUAAUGGCAUCUAGAAUGGUGAACGUUUUCAGAAGGUUUUCAGUUGGCUUUGCCCGGAUCCAUCAGACGAAUCCCUAUCUAUGGAAGCUAUAGAUUUAUAAAAUGUAUUUCUUUUUUUGUGGGGGCAUAGCGUCUCACCCUGUCACCCAACCUGGAAUGCAGUGGCACAGUCAUAACUCACUGAAGACUCAAACUCCUGGGCUCAAGUGAUUCUUCCACCUUGGCCUCCCAAAACACUGGAUUACAAGCUUGAGCCACUGUGUCUAGCCCAAAAUGUAUAUCAUAACUAAUGAGGCUUGAAAGUCAAAGUGACUCCUUGAUCCAUGGGCUACAGAAUGGACGCUGGGUUACCAGACAUGAAAACAAUACUCAUCUCCUCAUACAUCUCCUUCAGAGCUC